rnacentral:lncRNA from 1 species
GUUGACAGAUAUUGGCUCCCAUCCUGGAUGAAGAUUCAGUUUGGUAGUUUUUGUACGGGUAACCAAACACAAAUCUGUAAUAAAAAUGUCUCAAUAAAAUGAAAAAGAAUUAAAGGUACCCUGGGCUGAUGGAUCACUCCUAGAACUGCUGAAGUUAUUUAAAAGAUGAACACAAUAAUGGAAAAUGAUGGAGUUUCUUGGAAUCCAGCCUGGCCCUGUUCUGUUCUGCUACUGUCCUUUAGAUGCUGUUAUAGGCGCUCAGGAAAUCAGCCCUGAGUGCUCACUGGAAGGACGGAUCCUGAAGCUGAGGCUCCAAGACUUUGGCCACCACAUGAGAAGAGAAGACUCCCUGGAAAAGACCCUGAUGUUGGGAAAGAUGGAGGGCACAAGGAGAAGGGGGCGACAGAGGAUGAGAUGGUUGGACAGUGUUCUCGAAGCUACCAGCAUGAGUUUGACCAGUGGAAGACAGGAGUGCCUGGCAUGCUCUUGUCCAUGGGGUCACAAAGAGUUGGACAUGACUAAAUGACUAAACAACAACAUAGGCACUCAGCUCCAUGCUGUUGAGUUGACCCUUGGCUCUGCAGGCUAGUUUGGGGGGUUUGUUGAAAGCCCUGAUGUUGUCACAACCUCUCUCCCGCCUGUUGUCUUGCAACUUCUUGUUCACAACUCAACCCUCAAAACUGUACCCUGCCCAUCUGGCUGGAUUGCCCCAGCCCCUCUGGGCAGCAUCCAAAAAAAUAUAAACACAUGACAAAACAUCAAACUUUAGACACUUUGCUGUACAUCUAAAAGUUAGAUAGUUGUUAGUUUCUUUGACAUCUGACAGAAGGGCAUUUCACAGGGUGGGUGCUGCUGUGGAGAAGGCCCACUGCCUGGUUCCUUGUAACUUCACUUCUUGCAGUGAGGGAACUGCCAGAAGGCCCUCGAAGCUAAGGUUUCCAGAUUUUUUUCAAUGUAUCCGGGGACACACUUCAACUUCAAUGGAUUUUGUAUGGGGACUGAUUUGUAAAUCCGGGGACUGUCCUUGGGAAAUGGGGAUGUCUGUUAACCUUACUCAAAGCUGGAUCUCAGUGUCCGGGCUGGACAAUGGGGGUGGAGGCACUGCUUCAGGUAUACAGGGCCGAGAUCUAAUUUUUAUGAAGGUAUAAUGUAAUAAUAAAAAACCACAUGUCAUUGAGAUACACUAGAAGUGCCAUGCAGUGCCACAUAUGACAAAGUAAUUUAUCUCAGAUAUUUUCAGAUGUAUUUUCAGACGUAGCAUAGCUAUUGAAACUUUUUUUGCACCGACUUGGCCAGUGACACACCUAGGGUUGCCAUAUUUUGAAGAGCAAAACAGAGGACACAUUGGUUGACUUCUACUUUUAACUAUGGAUCGCUAUGGCGACUCUCAUUUUACAUACCCAGGAAAAAGAGGACGUGUCCCAGAAAAAGAGGACGUAUGGCAACAGUAGACAAUGUUCUUUACUUUCACUCCUCCUUGCUUUCUAGGUGACCUUUGAGCAGAUCCAGAAUCUACCCUGGUUGGUUGUACCCCUGCCCGUACGGGCCAGUCUUGCCAGACUCUAGGGUUGUGCGCUCAUCUCACUCUAUAGGCCGGGAGCCAGCGCUGUCCGCAGACACUUCCGGGUCACGUGGCCAGCGUGACAAGCUGCAUCUGGCGAGCCAGCACAGCACACGGAACGCCGUUUACCUUCCUGCUGGUAAGCGGUCCCUAUUUAUCUACUUGCACCCGAAGGUGCUUUCGAACUGCUAGGUUGGCAGGCGCUGGGACCGAAUGACGGGAGCGCACCCCGCUGCGGGGAUUCGAACCGCCGACCUUUUGAUCGGCAAGUCCUAGGCACUGAGGCUUUAACCCAUAGCACCACCCGUGUGUAUAAAUUCUUGUGUAGAUUGUUCCUCAGGUAAGCUUGAUGCAGGGGUGGGCUUUGGUAAUAUGGUGCCCUGAGAGAGGACAAAAUUUGGCACCCUCCUCUAAUGUUUCUUAAUUCCACAUAAUUCAUUUUUGUACUGUUGCUUUUUUAUGGAUCUUCUCAAUACUCACUGAAACAUCACAUUAUUGCAAAAACAGAAGUUGUUGUUGUUUUGUGUCCCUUUGGCUUGGUGCCCUGUGCAGGGCAACUGUUGGGAAACUGUGUAUGUGCAGCUACUCACACAGAGUCAAGGUUUGGCAGACAGCCAGAAGGCAAUCUGAAGGAGUAAGUCUGCCUGGUGAUAACAGAGGCAUGGAGACCGCUUCCUGAUUGGUCAAGCUCUCUCAAGGGAGUGAUAAUUAAUGGCCUACUAACUGGUAGUUCGGAGCUCAGUGUUCAGAGUUUGUGAGUUCAGAGGUCUGCGUCAGUGUAGGAGUUGUGAGUUGUGUCAGAGAGAGCUAGCUAAAAUUCCGUGUUCUGUUCCUGUAAAUAGUCCACUGUAUAUAAUAAACACCUAACUACAAGUUCCUGGUCCCUUCUUCGUCUAUCCUGUCUGCAGCCAAGUUGCCAAUUGCUUCCGUGGAUUCUGCGUUUACUCUGCUAGGUCUCGAUAAGGUCCUGCAACUAGUUGGAAAGUUGCGAAACACCAAAUAGGUUUUACCAAUAUGGCUGUAGUGCCCUAUAUCUGGUGUUGCUUGAUAUCUGAUGGGUUCCCACACUUCAUCUAGGAUAAGUUUGAACUUGUUGUCCAGGAGGCCUCUGGUGCCAUUGUUUUUGUAUUAUAGAAUCUAAUAUAAGAUAUGAAAAAUCUGAUAGGACUGCAGCAAUUAUCCAAUAGUAAAGAUUGCAAAACAUAGCAUUUUAAUUACAAAAGUGCAACAGAGGAUUAGUAAAACAAACUUUUCUUCGUAGCGGAAGGUAAACAGGGAAAGGUCCGAUUCUGGCCAUUCUUAAUAGAAUCAUAGAAUUGUCGAGUUGGAAGGGACCCUGAGGAACAUCUAGUUCAAUUCCACACAAUGUAAGGAUACGCAGCUGUCCCUUACGGGGGUCAAACCUGCAGCCUUGGCAUUAAAAAUUGACAUGCCCUGGCAGCAGAAUUUCCAGAACCCAUAUCUGAAAAAUUAAAAAAAUCUACCUGGAACAAUCAACAAUACACUGCAAGGUCCCACUUUAAGCCUGUGGCAUCUCCUGGUUGGAUUGAGAAAGAGUCCCUUCUGAGACAGCUGCUUCCAUUCUGUAUAGACAGUAAUGAGCUAGAGAAACUGAUGGUCUGACUUGGGAUAAGAAAACUACCAAUGUUCGUAAGGGUAUAAUAAUUGAAAGAAUUUCCAAUGGUGAUAAUUUUGCAGACAUUUUUAAUUUCUUAGUUCAAUGUGACAUGGCCAAGACUUGCUGGGUGCAAACAUUUAAGGGGAAAUGUAUUACAAGGUAACGGCAAAGUACACCUUGAGUUUUGGAAAUGUGAGAUUUAUAAACAGUGAGAAAGUGAAAACAGGCCUGCUAUGCGUUGUUCUCUGAGUUCUUCUCCUGGGAACAUCUUGAAGAUGGUAUGAACUGGAAGUGAACACUAUGUGCUCGCUGGAAACUGCUAGGAAUAAGACUGUGAUUAGCAAUGAGCAAUGAGCAGAUGAAAUAAAUGAGGCAGAUACAAUAAUGUUGAUUUCAUUUUCUCUCAGGUUCUCAUUUCCGGCAUCUUAAGUUCAGUUUGGCAUUUUGCCACAUCUGUUUACUUUUUUUAAAAAACUAAUCAAAAUUAACCAGCAUUUUAGUGUACAUUUUCCCCAUUAUAUACAAUUUGUAUGUAAUUUGCCCAAUACAUGUCUAUGCUGGUUCCCCUAAUAUCUGCAUUGUUAUGCACACAUUCCUAACACAUGCAUUUCUGACCCCCCCCCCCUUUUUGGAGAAUUGCAUUGCACAUAUUGUUUCUGGAAAUUGGUAGGUUUGCAUUACAAUGUGUUCUGAACCAAAUUUCUCCCUCAUCCCUAACUGUGAGUUGCUUUCUAUUCCUGAUUGCUUUCUGCUUUCAGUGCAUGCCUUGCAUAAAGGUAAAGGUAAAGGGACCCCUGACCGUUAGGUCCAGUUGUGACCGACUCUGGGGUUGCUGCGCUCAUCUCGCUUUAUUGGCCGAGGGAGCCGGCGUACAGCUUCCGGGUCAUGUGGCCAGCAUGACUAAGCCACUUCUGGCGAACCAGAGCAGCACACGGAAACGCCGUUUACCUUCCCGCUGGAGCGGUACCUAUUUAUCUACUUGCACUUUGACGUGCUUUUGAAUUGCUAGGUUGGCAGGAGCAGGGACCGAGCAACGGGAGCUCACCCCGUCGCAGGGAUUCGAACCGCCGACCUUCUGAUCAGCGAGUCCACGCAGACCCUCCAAGUGUCCCUAUUUUCCAUGGACAUCCCUAAUUUAGAGAAGCCAUCCCGGUUUCUGACUUGAUCCCGGAAUGUCCAACUUUUCCUUGUUGUUGUUUAGUUGUUUAGUCGUGUCCGACUCUUCGUGACCCCAUGGACCAGAGCAUGCCAGGCACUCCUGUCUUCCACUGCCUCCCACAGUUUGGUCAAACUCAUGUUGGUAGCUUCAAGAACACUGUCCAACCAUCUCGUCCUCUGUCGCCCCCUUCUCCUUGUGCCCUCCAUCUUUCCCAACAUCAGGGUCUUUUCCAGGGAGUCUUCUCUUCUCAUGAGGUGGUCAAAGUAUUGGAGUCUCAGCUUCAGGAUCUGUCCUUCCAGUGAGCACUCAGGGCUGAUUUCCUUCAGAAUGGAUAGAUUUGAUCUUCUUGUAGUUCAUGGGAC